rnacentral:rRNA from 1 species
GAUGAACGCUGGCGGCGUGCUUAACACAUGCAAGUCGAACGAAUCACUUUAUUUGAUUUCCUUCGGGACUGAUUAUUUUGUGACUGAGUGGCGGACGGGUGAGUAACGCUUGGGUAACCUGCCUUGUACAGGGGGCUAACAGUUGGAACCGCCUGCUAAUACCGCUUAAGCGCCCAGCAUCCCCUGAUUCAGUGUUAAAAACUCCGGUGGUGUAAGAUGGACCCGCGUUGGAUUAGCUAGUUGGGGAGGGAAAGGCCCACCAAGGCGACGAUCCAUAGCCGAGCAGAGAGGGUGACCGGCCACAUUGGGAGUGAGACACGGCCCAAAAUCCUACGGGAGGGAGCAGUGGGGAAUAUUGCACAAGGGGCGAAAGCCUGAUGGAGCGACGCCGCGUGAGCGAAGAAGUAUUUCGGUAUGUAAAGCUAUAUCAGCAGGGAAGAUAAUGAAGGUACCUGACUAAGAAGCACCGGCUAAAUACGUG